rfam:Corchorus capsularis cultivar CVL-1 contig10117, whole genome shotgun sequence.
GUCUAGGUGGUGUUGCUGGUUAUCAUGCUAGCCUUACACACUAGAGGUCUUCGGUUCGAACCCGAGCUUAGACA